AGGACUGUAGUUAACUAUAACAUUUGAUUUGCAUUCAAAAAGUAUUGAUUUGAUCAAUCUGUCUUA
rnacentral:tRNA from 1 species